UACAGAGGGUGCAAGCGUUAAUCGGAAUUACUGGGCGUAAAGCGUGCGUAGACGGUUGCGUAAGUCAGAUGUGAAAAGCCCCCGGGCUCAACCUGGGAAUUGCAUUUUGAGACUGCGUAGCUAGGGUGCGGAAGAGGGAAGCGGAAUUUCCGGUGUAGCGGUGAAAAUGCGUAGAUAUCGGAAGGAACACCAGUGGCGAAAGCGGCUUCCUGGUCCAGCACCGACGUCAGGCACAAAGCGUGGGGGAGCAAACAGG
rnacentral:rRNA from 1 species